CACGUAGGAGGCGAGCGUUGUCCGGAAUCAUUGGGCGUAAAGAGCGCGCAGGCGGCUUGGCAAGUCGGGUGUGAAAUCCCGGGGCUCAACCCCGGGACUGCAUUCGAUACUGUCAGGCUAGAGGUAGGUAGGGGAGAUCGGAAUUCCUGGUGUAGCGGUGAAAUGCGCAGAUAUCAGGAGGAACACCGGUGGCGAAGGCGGUCGACUGGGCCAGUACUGACGCUGAGGCGCGACAGCGUGGGGAGCAAACAGG
rnacentral:rRNA from 1 species